rnacentral:rRNA from 1 species
UACGGAGGGGGCUAGCGUUGUCCGAAGUUACUGGGCGUAAAGCGCGCGUAGGCGGGUUGGUAAGUCCGCUGUGAAAGCCCUCAGCUCAACUGAGGAAGUGCGCCCGAAACUGCAGAGCUUGAGUACCGGAGAGGGUGGCGGAAUUCCCCAAGUAGAGGUGAAAUUCGUAGAUAUGGGGAGGAACACCGGUGGCGAAGGCGGCCACCUGGACGGAUACUGACGCUGAGACGCGAAAGCGUGGGUAGCAAACAGG